CGCAGUCCCACUCACAGUCCUGGCCCCGCCUCCAGCCACAGCCCAGGCUCCACACCUCCCGACCCAGGGACCAUCACCAUCAAGGUGUGCUUUGAGGGGGUGAUGUCACCACACUCCCUCCUGGUGGCCGCCCUCACCUCGGAGUUCUUCACCAGUAGCUCCCCCGAGGGCUGGAGGCUGAACUUGCCCUGGGCUCCGGACACGGUCACUGGCUGGCCAUCCUUCUCCCAGCGGAUGUCGGGCUGCGGGCUGCCCCUGGCCACACAGGGCAGGAGGGCGUGGGAGCCUUCCGUGGUGGACAGGGGGCAAAUGACUCGUCCGGGCAGCAGAACGACGGAGCGACCCAGUGACCACCAAGCCUGGCCGGCAGCCAAACCCAGCCACCCGCUCCAUGGCCUCCGACUCAGCACUGGGCACCCAGGUUCCCAUCACCAGGAACUGUGCGGAGCCCGGUUACGCGAGGGACAGGCCACGGGAUCCAGGAGGGCUUCCUGGAGGAGGGUCCAGCCCGCCUCACUCACCCUGCACGGUCACCUGGUAGAGCCUGCGGGUCUCGCCCACCUCGUUGCUCACCACGCACUCAAACUGAGCUGAGUCCUGGGCACUGGGGGCCACAAGCAGCAGGGCAUUGGAGGGCAGGAGGCUAGAUGGAGGGGUAGACAGACAGGGAGCUAACUGACCAGCCGGCCUGGGUGAGCCAGCACGGCCGUCCCGCCUCAGCUUCAGCAGUCUGGAUGCAGACACCCUCCCUCCUGCAUCCGUGCCCAGCCCUGACUUGACAGUGUCUCACAGCCAGCCGUGGUGGCGCAUGCCUAUAAUCCUAGCACUCGAGAGGCUGAGGCAGGAGGGUCGCUGUGAGUUCAAGGCCUGCCUGGACUGCAUAGCAAGACCCUGUCUGAAACCUUCCCUCCCUCAAAAAACACCUUCCAGAAGUUCCUGCUCCUCAAGUUUCAGCUCUUGGGUUUGUGUGGCUUUGUUUCCAUCCCGUUUCUCUGUAACUCUGCAUGUUUGGUGCCCCAGUUUCUCCAACUUCUCCGCGGACUGCUCCGGAAGGCCCAGUCAGGGGGCUCGCCGUACUGAGCCCCUGCUUCCCGGCCCAAGAUGACCACGAGUUAACGGGUCAGGGGUGACCCCUUCAACCCUCCCACAGCCACUGAACAAUUAGCGAAGUGGGGAAACCAAGGGUCCUGGACAGACACAAGGCUGGCCCUGGCCGGCACAUACCUACACCCCUAAGUUUGUGGGGGCUGGGGAUGGAACCCCGGGCCUCAUGCAUACUGGGCAAAUGCUCUACCAUGGAGGAACUACACCCCAACCCUUCCAUGUUUUGUAUUUGAUGUUUGAGAGUGCAAUAAAUAUAACACUUUUGCCGGGCAUGGUAGUGCACACCUGUAAUCCCAGCACUCGGGAGGCUGAGGCAGGAGGAUCAUUGCGAGCUCGAGACCAGCCUGGGCUACAAAGUGAGCUCAAGACCAGCCUGAACUGCAUAGUGAGACCCUGUCUCAAAAAGACAAAAAAAACCAUUUUUGUAUUUUCCCAUUUGGCAUAGAACGUGUAAAGCGUUUGGCCCCCUGCCUGGUCACCCCACUGCUUCAGAGUCCG
rnacentral:lncRNA from 1 species